rnacentral:rRNA from 1 species
UACGUAGGGUGCAAGCGUUGUCCGGAAUUAUUGGGCGUAAAGAGCUCGUAGGCGGUCUGUCGCGUCGGAUGUGAAAAUCCAGGGCUCAACCCUGGACCUGCAUUCGAUACGGGCAGACUAGAGUUCGGUAGGGGAGACUGGAAUUCCUGGUGUAGCGGUGAAAUGCGCAGAUAUAGGAGGAACACCGGUGGCGAAGGCGGGUCUCUGGGCCGAAACUGACGCUGAGGAGCGAAAGCGUGGGGAGCAAACAGG